AGUGAACGCUGGCGGUAUGCCUAACACAUGCAAGUCGAACGGCAGCACAGUAAUAGCUUUCUCUUACGGGUGGCGAGUGGCGGACGGGUGAGGAAUACAUCGGAAUCUACUUUUUCGUGGGGGAUAACGGAGGGAAACUUACGCUAAUACCGCAUACGACCUACGGGGGGAAGCAGAGGAUCUUCGGCCCUUGCGCGGUUGAAUGAGCCGAUGGCGGGUUAGCUAGUUGGCGGGGUAAAGGCCCACCAAGGCGACGAUCCGUAGCUGGUCUGAGAGGAUGAUCAGCCACACUGGAACUGAGACACGGCCCAGACUCCUACGGGAGGCAGCAGUGGGGAAUAUUGGACAAUGGGGGCAAGCCUGAUCCAGCCAUACCGCGUGGGUGAAGAAGGCCUUCGGGUUGUAAAGCCCUUUUGUUGGGAAAGAAAAGCAGCAGGUUAAUACCCCGCUGUUCUGACGGUACCGAAAGAAUAAGCACCGGCUAACUUCGUG
rnacentral:rRNA from 1 species